AUUGAACGCUGGCGGCAUGCCUUACACAUGCAAGUCGAACGGUAACGGGCCUUCGGGUGCCGACGAGUGGCGCACGGGUGAGUAAUACAUCGGAACGUGCCCGAUCGUGGGGGAUAACGAGGCGAAAGCUUUGCUAAUACCGCAUACGAUCUACGGAUGAAAGCAGGGGACCGCAAGGCCUUGCGCGGACGGAGCGGCCAAUGGCAGAUUAGGUAGUUGGUGGGAUAAAAGCUUACCAAGCCGACGAUCUGUAGCUGGUCUGAGAGGAUGAUCAGCCACACUGGGACUGAGACACGGCCCAGACUCCUACGGGAGGCAGCAGUGGGGAAUUUUGGACAAUGGGCGCAAGCCUGAUCCAGCCAUGCCGCGUGCAGGAUGAAGGCCUUCGGGUUGUAAACUGCUUUUGUACGGAACGAAAAGCCUUCUUUUAAUACAGGAGGGUCAUGACGGUACCGUAAGAAUAAGCACCGGCUAACUACGUG
rnacentral:rRNA from 1 species